UCAUCUCGUCACUUCUUGUCAUAACUUACUUCAUCUCAUCACUUCUUUUCAAAGUUAUGAAAAGAAGUGACGAGAUGAGUAAGUUAUGAAAAGAAGUGACAGAUGAAGU
rnacentral:pre_miRNA from 1 species